GCUGCGGUAAUCUAACCGUACUAAGGUAGCAUAAUAAUUUGCCCUUUAAUUGUGGGCUGGCAUGAAUGGGUAAACGAGGACAUGGCUGUCUCUUUCUUAUUAAACAAAAAUUGGAAUUCAAGUGAAGAUACUUGGAUUUUUUUAAAAGACAAGAAGUCCCCAUAGAGCUUAAGGGAUAGAUUAGAUAGGAAUACAUAGUUGAAAACUUUGGUUGGGGCGACUAAAAAUCAUCUAAAGCGUUUUUUAUUCAGGAGAGAAGGGUCUCGGAGUUGUGAUCCGUGUAUAGCGAUUAAAUGAAAAAGCUACCUUGGGGAUAACAGGCUUAUUUACUCAAAGAGUUCACAUUGCUGAGUAAGAUUGGCACCUCGAUGUUGGCUCAGGGUGUCCCAUAGGUGCAGAAGUCUAUGAUGGUAGGUUUGUUCACCCUUUAAAACCCUAC
rnacentral:rRNA from 1 species